UAUGAUCGCUUGUUGGAAUCCUGUUAAGUAGAUGGCUAAUGAACAUUCAUCUUUUCCAGGACAAAGCGCAGCCAUUGUAACGUCGGUGAUGGCAGGGCUCACCAUGAAUGAAGAGAUGUUAUGCAGAAAAAUUGUCAUAAAAAGAUGGCUUAAACCUGACAAUUUUUCCAUAUUGUCUGGAGAGUGGAGAGAAGAGGAGCUAAA
rnacentral:misc_RNA from 1 species